GAUGAACGCUGGCGGCGUGCUUAACACAUGCAAGUCGAACGGACAGGCUCCUGCUUGCCGGGGUACUCGAGUGGCGCACGGGUGAGUAACACGUGGGUGAUAUGCCCUGCACUUCGGGAUAAGACUGGGGAACUGGGUCUCAUACCCGAUAGGAUGUUGUUAUGGAUGCCGUUGUGGAGAGAUAUUUCGGUUUGGGAUGAGCUAGAGGCCUAUCCGCUAGUUGGUGGGUUAUUGGUCUACCAAGGCGUCGCCGGGUCGCCGGCCUGUGAGGGUGGACGGCGACAUUGGGACUAAGGUACGGCCCAGACGCGAACGGGAGGCAGCAGGGGGGAGUAUGGCACAAUGGGGGCAAGCCUGAGGCAGCGACGUCGCGUGCGGAAUGACGGCCUUCGGGUGGUAAACACCUGUCGCUAGAGACGAAGCGCAAGUGACGGUACCUAGAGAAGAAGCACCGGCUAACUACGUG
rnacentral:rRNA from 1 species